GCCGGGGUCUCCUAGCCUGGCAGGGAGCGGGCCUGGAGAGCCCGUGGUCCAUGUGGCCGCGCGGGUUCAAAUCCCGCCCCCGGCG
rnacentral:tRNA from 4 species